GCAGUGACCAGCCAAGGAUCAGAGAACUUGUCAACAACUGGGACAGGAUUCAAACUUGGGUCUCUCAACUCCCAAGAUGUCAUUUUAACAAUGAUUGGAAGUAUGAACUGCCAAGGGGAAAGACAAAGUGAUGAGAAUAAACUAUGAGACUACUACAAAUGAUGCAAGACAUAACGAUCUGGACUGGGGAAGCAGAGGAGGAGAAAACAAAGAGAAUGCCAAGGUUUGGGCCACAGGCAUCUGAAAGAAAUCAUCACAUGGAAGUACAGCACAUAAUUUAUUCCAGUUCCAG